AUCUCUUCUCGGCUUUUUGGCUAAGAUCAAGUGUAGUAUCUGUUCUUAUCAGCUUAAAUGCAUUAGUCCUUUUAAAGGAGCACUCGUAAGCAUAUGGGCUGCUGGAAAGGAAUCAGGAGACUAGGUAGGUGCUUCUAAAAGCAG
rnacentral:snRNA from 14 species